rnacentral:rRNA from 1 species
UUGAUCCUGGCUCCGAUGAACGCUGGCGGCGUGCCUAAUACUUCAGGUCGAGCGAACAGACAAGGAGCUUGCUCCUUUGAUUUUAGCGGCGGACGGGUGAGUAACACGUGGGUAACCUACCUAUAAGACUGGGAUAACUUCGGGAAACCGGAGCUAAUACCGGAUAAUAUUUCGAACCGCAUGGUUCGAUAGUGAAAGAUGGUUUUGCUAUCACUUAUAGAUGGACCCGCGCCGUAUUAGUUAGUUGGUAAGGUAACGGCUUACCAAGGCGACGAUACGUAGCCGACCUGAGAGGGUGAUCGGCCACACUGGAACUGAGACACGGUCCAGACUCCUACGGGAGGCAGCAGUAGGGAAUCUUCCGCAAUGGGCGAAAGCCUGACGGAGCAACGCCGCGUGAGUGAUGAAGGUCUUCGGAUCGUAAAACUCUGUUAUUAGGGAAGAACAUACGUGUAAGUAACUAUGCACGUCUUGACGGUACCUAAUCAGAAAGCCACGGCUAACUACGUGCCAGCAGCCGCGGUAAUACGUAGGUGGCAAGCGUUAUCCGGAAUUAUUGGGCGUAAAGCGCGCGUAGGCGGUUUUUUAAGUCUGAUGUGAAAGCCCACGGCUCAACCGUGGAGGGUCAUUGGAAACUGGAAAACUUGAGUGCAGAAGAGGAAAGUGGAAUUCCAUGUGUAGCGGUGAAAUGCGCAGAGAUAUGGAGGAACACCAGUGGCGAAGGCGACUUUCUGGUCUGUAACUGACGCUGAUGUGCGAAAGCGUGGGGAUCAAACAGGAUUAGAUACCCUGGUAGUCCACGCCGUAAACGAUGAGUGCUAAGUGUUAGGGGGUUUCCGCCCCUUAGUGCUGCAGCUAACGCAUUAAGCACUCCGCCUGGGGAGUACGACCGCAAGGUUGAAACUCAAAGGAAUUGACGGGGACCCGCACAAGCGGUGGAGCAUGUGGUUUAAUUCGAAGCAACGCGAAGAACCUUACCAAAUCUUGACAUCCUUUGACAACUCUAGAGAUAGAGCCUUCCCCUUCGGGGGACAAAGUGACAGGUGGUGCAUGGUUGUCGUCAGCUCGUGUCGUGAGAUGUUGGGUUAAGUCCCGCAACGAGCGCAACCCUUAAGCUUAGUUGCCAUCAUUAAGUUGGGCACUCUAAGUUGACUGCCGGUGACAAACCGGAGGAAGGUGGGGAUGACGUCAAAUCAUCAUGCCCCUUAUGAUUUGGGCUACACACGUGCUACAAUGGACAAUACAAAGGGCAGCGAAACCGCGAGGUCAAGCAAAUCCCAUAAAGUUGUUCUCAGUUCGGAUUGUAGUCUGCAACUCGACUACAUGAAGCUGGAAUCGCUAGUAAUCGUAGAUCAGCAUGCUACGGUGAAUACGUUCCCGGGUCUUGUACACACCGCCCGUCACACCACGAGAGUUUGUAACACCCGAAGCCGGUGGAGUAACCAUUUGGAGCUAGCCGUCGAAGGUGGGACAAAUGAUUGGGGUGA